GAUGAACGCUAGCGGCAGGCCUAAUACAUGCAAGUCGAACGGUGUCUUCGGACAUAGUGGCGCACGGGUGCGUAACACGUAUGCAACCUACCUUACAUUGGGGGAUAGCCUUUCGAAAGGGAGAUUAAUACCGCAUAAGACAGUAGCUGGGCAUCCAGCAGCUGUUAAAGAUCUAUCGAUGUAAGCUGGGCAUGCGUCCAAUUAGCUAGUUGGUGAGGUAACGGCUCACCAAGGCAAUGAUUGGUAGGGGAACUGAGAGGUCAAUCCCCCACACUGGCACUGAGAUACGGGCUAGACUCCUACGGGAGGCAGCAGUAGGGAAUACUGGGCAAUGGACGCAAGUCUGACCCAGCCAUGCCGCGUGCAGGAUGAAGGCGUUAUGCGUUGUAAACUGCUUUUAUACAGGAAGAAACGACUCUUGCGAGAGGCAUUGACGGUACUGUAUGAAUAAGCACCGGCUAACUCCGUGCCAGCAGCCGCCGUAAGAC
rnacentral:rRNA from 1 species